UAGGUUGAUGCAAAAGUGAUGGCGGUUUUUGUCAUUACUUUUAAUGGUAAAAAUGCAAUUACUUUUGCACAAACCUAUAU
rnacentral:miRNA from 1 species